rnacentral:rRNA from 1 species
UACGGAGGGUGCAAGCGUUAAUCGGAAUUACUGGGCGUAAAGCGCACGUAGGCGGCUUGGCAUGUCGGGUGUGAAAUCCCCGGGCUCAACCUGGGAACUGCAUCCGAAACUGCCUUGCUAGAGUAUGGGAGAGGGAAGCGGAAUUUCUGGUGUAGCAGUGAAAUGCGUAGAUAUCAGAAGGAACAUCAGUGGCGAAGGCGGCUUCCUGGACCAAUACUGACGCUCAGGUGCGAAAGCGUGGGGAGCAAACAGG